UACGGAGGAUCCAAGCGUUAUCCGGAUUUAUUGGGUUUAAAGGGUGCGCAGGCGGAUUGGUAAGUCAGUGGUGAAAUCCUCCCGCUCAACGGGAGAACUGCCAUUGAUACUAUCAGUCUUGAGUACAUUUGAAGUGGGCGGAAUGUGUCAUGUAGCGGUGAAAUGCUUAGAGAUGACACAGAACACCGAUAGCGAAGGCAGCUCACUAAACUGUAACUGACGCUCAGGCACGAAAGCGUGGGGAUCAAACAGGAUUAGAUACCCUGGUAGUCCACGCCGUAAACGAUGAUUACUCGAUGUGUGCGAUACACAGUACGCGUCUAAGGGAAACCGAUAAGUAAUCCACCUGGGGAGUACGUUCGCAAGAAUGAA
rnacentral:rRNA from 1 species